rnacentral:rRNA from 1 species
GCAGUCGCCGCGGUAAAACGAGGGGUGCAAGCGUUAUUCGGAUUGAUUGGGUGUAAAGGGUGUGCAGACGGCUUAUUAAGUCACUUGUUAAAUUCUUCGGCCUAACUGAAGGUCUGCAAGUGAUACUGAUGAGCUAGAGGGUGGAAGAGAGAAGUGGAAUUCUCGGAGUAGCGGUGAAAUGCGCAGAUAUCAGGAGGAACACCGAUGGCGAAGGCAGGUCUCUGGGCAUUAACUGACGCUGAGGAGCGAAAGCAUGGGGAGCGAACAGGAUUAGAUACCCCUGUAGUCCCUGUCUCUUAUAC